GGCGCCCCCUCCUGAGAGCAGGAGGAAAAUAACGGGGAGCGCGGUCGCCUGGCAACGCCUGGCCAUUCGGCCUGCCCAGACAGGCCGACCCUUUCCCACGCGCUCUUCGCCAGCCCCUUGGCUGCACGCGGGAUAGAGCCGUGGGCUCGGUCCGGGUCCGGGUUGCCUCCAGCUCCGGGAAAAUCGCCCCGGAUCCCUAAAGUCAGCGUCCCGAGAAGACCUAGGAAAUUCUGCCAGCUCAGCAGCCAGCUCCAGUUGCAAAACCCACACUGUGGACAGGCGGGAGCAAAGCGCACGCGGGGCGGAGACAAGGUCUCACAUGGGAAAAAAAAUCUCAAAGUGAUCGGCCCAGUUACUGUGCCACCAUGGAAAACACCCUGUGGUGAAGCUCGUAGGACGUGGGAUUGUGUCCAGGUGAGAAUCUACA
rnacentral:lncRNA from 1 species